rnacentral:rRNA from 1 species
AAUAUUGGUCAAUGGAGGCAACUCUGAACCAGCCACGUCGCGUGAAGGAUGACGGCCCUACGGGUUGUAAACUUCUUUUAUACAGGAAUAAAGUGAGUCACGUGUGACUUUUUGCAUGUACUGUAUGAAUAAGGAUCGGCUAACUGCGUGCCAGCAGCCGCGGUAAUACGGAGGAUCCAAGCGUUAUCCGGAUUUAUUGGGUUUAAAGGGUGCGCAGGCGGAAGAUUAAGUCGGCGGUGAAAUUUUGCAGCUCAACUGUAAAAGUGCCAUCGAUACUGGUUUUCUUGAGUGUGGAUGAAGUAGGCGGAAUUUGUGGUGUAGCGGUGAAAUGCAUAGAUAUCACACAGAACACCGAUAGCGUAGGCAGGUUGCUAAGUCUUUAUUGACGCUGAUGGACGAAAGCGUGGGGAGCAAAC